rnacentral:rRNA from 1 species
UACGUAGGGUGCAAGCGUUGUCCGGAUUUAUUGGGCGUAAAGAGCUCGUAGGCGGCUUGGCAAGUCGGGUGUGAAAACUACAGGCUCAACCUGUAGAUGCCACUCGAGACUGCUAUGGCUAGAGUCUGGUAGGGGAGCACGGAAUUCCUGGUGUAGCGGUGAAAUGCGCAGAUAUCAGGAGGAACACCGGUGGCGAAGGCGGUGCUCUGGGCCAGUACUGACGCUGAGGAGCGAAAGCGUGGGUAGCAAACAGG